ensembl:misc_RNA Metazoa_SRP Metazoan signal recognition particle RNA
GCCGGGCACAGUAGUGCGUUCCUGUAGUCCCCCCUACUCAGGAGGCUGAGGCGGGAGGAUCUCUUGAGCCCAGGAGUUCUGGGCUGUAGUGUGCUAUGCCGGUUGGGUGUCCACAUCAACACGGUGACCUCCCAGAAGCAGGGGACCACAGGUUGCCUAAGGAGGGGUGAACCGGCCCAGGUUGGAAAUGGAGCAGGUCAGAACUCCCAUGCUGAUCAGUAGUGGGAUUGUGCCUGUGAAUAGCCACUGCACUCCAGCCUGGGCAACAUAGAGACCCCGUCUCUU